rnacentral:rRNA from 1 species
GGGGAAUUUUCCGCAAUGGGCGAAAGCCUGACGGAGCAAUACCGCGUGAGGGAGGAAGGCUCUUGGGUUGUAAACCUCUUUUCUCAGGGAAUAAGCAAUGAAGGUACCUGAGGAAUCAGCAUCGGCUAACUCCGUGCCAGCAGCCGCGGUAAUACGGAGGAUGCAAGCGUUAUCCGGAAUGAUUGGGCGUAAAGCGUCCGCAGGUGGUUUUUCAAGUCUGCUGUCAAAGAGUCUGGCUCAACCAGAUAAAGGCAGUGGAAACUGAGAGACUAGAGUGUGGUAGGGGCAGAGGGAAUUCCUGGUGUAGCGGUGAAAUGCGUAGAGAUCAGGAAGAACACCGGUGGCGAAAGCGCUCUGCUGGACCAUAACUGACACUGAGGGACGAAAGCUAGGGGAGCGAAUGGGAUUAGAUACCCCAGUAGUCCUAGCCGUAAACGAUGGAUACUAGGCGUUGCCCGUAUCGACCCGGGCAGUGUCGUAGCCAACGCGUUAAGUAUCCCGCCUGGGGAGUACGCACGCAAGUGUGAAACUCAAAGGAAUUGACGGGGGCCCGCACAAGCGGUGGAGUAUGUGGUUUAAUUCGAUGCAACGCGAAGAACCUUACCAAGACUUGACAUGUCCGGAAUCUCUUGGAAACGAGAGAGUGCCUUCGGGAGCCGGAACACAGGUGGUGCAUGGCUGUCGUCAGCUCGUGUCGUGAGAUGUUGGGUUAAGUCCCGCAACGAGCGCAACCCUCGUUCUUAGUUGCCAGCACUUCGGGUGGGCACUCUAGGGAGACUGCCGGUGACAAACCGGAGGAAGGUGGGGAUGACGUCAAGUCAGCAUGCCCCUUACGUCUUGGGCGACACACGUACUACAAUGCUAUGGACAAAGGGCAGCAAGCUAGCAAUAGCAAGCAAAUCCCAGAAACCAUGGCUCAGUUCAGAUCGCAGGCUGCAACUCGCCUGCGUGAAGGAGGAAUCGCUAGUAAUUGCAGGUCAGCAUACUGCAGUGAAUUCGUUCCCGGGCCUUGUACACACCGCCCGUCACACCAUGGAAGCUGGUCACGCCCGAAGUCGUUACCCUAACCUUUCGAGGAGGGGGACGCCGAAGGUAGGACUGGUGACUGGGGUGAAGUCGUAACAAGGUAGCCGUACCGGAAGGUGUGGCUGGAUCACCUCCUUUUCAGGGAGACCCACUUUUGAGUUUGUGCUCAACAGUUUGCACUGAUGAGUGAAAAAUAAAACUCAAAAGCUAUCCCAAGGUCGGUCAUGAGUCAAGAUUGUAAGCUUUCAAACUAUUUUUGGUUCACAUUAACUUAUUACCUGAAAAGCACAAAUCAUAAUUAAGUCACAAACCAUAAUCAAGUUGUUACUCAUAAACAAAGUUUACAAUUGAUAACUUGAAGUAACUACGUAAAUAUACUGUGAUACUUAAUGUGGUUAAGGAGAUAUAAUUUCAGCAUCUUGUGAACAAAAGCAAGACUGCUGGUAUUUUUCCAGCAAAAGAACCUUGAAAACUGCAUAGAGACGCGAAAUUAGUCAGGUAGUUAACGAAAAACAGUUAACACUCCAAAGCAGCAAGAAUUGUUUGUAGUCAAGCAAGAAAAGGCGAAUGGUGGAUACCUAGGCACACAGAG